rnacentral:rRNA from 1 species
UACGUAGGGUGCAAGCGUUAAUCGGAAUUACUGGGCGUAAAGCGUGCGCAGGCGGUUGUGUAAGUCAGAUGUGAAAUCCCCGGGCUCAACCUGGGAAUUGCGCUUGAAACUAGCGGGCUUGAGUGCGGCAGAGGGGGGUGGAAUUCCACGUGUAGCAGUGAAAUGCGUAGAGAUGUGGAGGAACACCGAUGGCGAAGGCAGCCCCCUGGGUCGACACUGACGCUCAUGCACGAAAGCGUGGGGAGCAAACAGG